CGCUGGCGGCGUGCUUAAUACAUGCAAGUCAACUUGACUUUAGAUAGCAAUAUCGAAAAGUAGGGUGGCGCACGGGUGCGUAACGCGUAGGUAAUCUGCCCUGAGGUCUGACAUAACCCGUCGAAAGGCGGGCUAACAUCAGAUGAUAUAUAAUCACGACAUCGUGGAAAUAUCAAAUCUUCGGAGCCUUGGGAUGAGCCUGCGUCUGAUUAGGUAGUUGGCGGAGUAAUAGCCCACCAAGCCUACGAUCAGUAGCUGGUCUGAGAGGAUGAUCAGCCACACUGGAACUGAGACACGGUCCAGACUCCUACGGGAGGCAGCAGUAAGGAAUAUUGCUCAAUGGGGGAAACCCUGAAGCAGCAACGCCCGCGUGAAGGAUGAAAUACUUUUGUAUGUAAACUUCUGUAAGAUGGGAAAAUAUUCUCCUCGGGAGAAUUGAUUGUACCAUCAGAGUAAGCCCCGGCUAACUACGUG
rnacentral:rRNA from 1 species